GGGAUAGAAUUCCAGGAGUAGCGGUGAAAUGCGUAGACAUCUGGAGGAAUACCAAAGGCGAAGGCAGUCCCCUGGUCCGAUACUGACACUGAGGUACGAAAGCGUGGGGAGCAAACAGGAUUAGAUACCCUGGUAGUCCACGCCCUAAACGAUGUCGAUUAGCCAUUGGAAGGACCCCUUUUCCUUUCAGUGGCGUAGCUAACGCGUUAAAUCGACCGCCUGGGAAGUACGACCGCAAGGUUAAAACUCAAAGGAAUUGACGGGGACCUGAACAAGCGGUGAAUGAUGUGGAUUAAUUCGAUGCUACGCGAAGAACCUUACCUACCUUUGACAUGGCCAAAGUUCUACCGAGAGGCGGAAGUACUCGUAAGAGGAUUGGCGCACAGGUGCUGCAUGGUUGUCGUCAGUUCGUGUCGUGAGAUGUUGGGUUCUGUCCCGCAACGAACGCAACCCUUAUCUUUAAUUGCUCCUAUUUUAACAGGCACUUUAAAGAAACUGCCAAUGAUAAGUUGGAGGAAGGUGGGGAUCACGUCAAGUCCGCAUGGCCUUUAUAGGUAGGGCUUCACACGUCAUACAAUGGUUAGAACAAAGAGCUGCAAAUUCGUAAGAAGGAGCCAAUCUCACAAACCUAACCUCAGUUCGAAUUGCGGUCUGCAACUCGAGCGCAUGAAGCCGGAAUCGCUAGUAAUCGUGGAUCAGAAUGCCACGGUGAAUACGUUCUUAGGUCUU
rnacentral:rRNA from 1 species